rnacentral:rRNA from 1 species
CCUACGGGAGGCAGCAGUGAGGAAUCUUGGUCAAUGGACGAGAGUCUGAUCCAGCCACGUCGCGUGAAGGAUGACUGCCCUAUGGGCUGUAAACUUCUUUUAUAUGGGAAUAAAAUGUUCCACGUGUGGGAUUUUGUAUGUACCAUAUGAAUAUGGAUAGGCGCACUCCGUGCCAGCAGCCGCGGUAAUAGGGAGGAUCCGAGCGUUACCCGGAUUUAUUGGGUUUAAAGGGAGCGUAGGUGGAUUGAUAAGUCAGUUGUGAAGGGUUGCGGCUCAACCGGAAAAUUGCAGUUGAAACUGGUAGUCUUGAGUACAGUAGAGGUGGGCGGAAGUCGUGGUGUAGCGGUGGAAUGCUUAGAUAUCUCGAAGAACUCCGGUUGCGAAGGCAGUUCACUGGACUGCAACUGACACUGAGGCUCGAAAGUGUGGGUAUCAAACAGGAUUAGAUACCCGAGUAGUC